rnacentral:lncRNA from 1 species
UGUUUGUACGUAUGACUCGUGGGUGGGAGGACUUUAGAACAGCGAUGAGCACGAGUCACUUGUCAGAAGCUCAUCAUUGACAGGAUGAAGCUUCUACUAAGCAGCCUGCUCCUCGCCUCGCUCUGUGCCCUCUCAUCAUGGAGUGUUUCAUCAGGGACGCUUGUUGUGACCCAGAGUCCUGAUACCACAGUCACAGAGGGAGAAACUGUGAACAUCACCUGCUGCUGGAAGAACAAGACAGAAGUGUGGGUUAAUUGGCUGAAAAAUGAAAUACGAAUAAACAAGACCCAGAGAAUCAACAAAAUUGAGACAUUUGAUCAGAAUGCAAAUUGGACAAAAUGUUCAACUCUGACACUUAAAAAUGUCAAAAAAGAGGAUUCAGCAAGAUACACCUGCAUUGUUACCAUGGACAUACCAGUAUUACAAACAGCAUCUGGAGAAGGGACAGUUAUCACCAUUGAAAGUGGACAGAACACAGAUGAACACAGUGGUAACCCUAAAGACCCAGACAACCCCUUACAAUCUGUCUACAUCGCCCUGGGUGUAGUGGCUCCUCUCCUGCUCAUCACACUCAUCUGUUUCUGCCGUCUGCGGAGUAAAGAAGCACAAGCGGCCAGGGUGAUCUACGAGGUUCCACAUGUCGACUCAGAGACCCAGGACGUGGACAAACACAGCGACAGUUCCUCCAGAGGCUCGUCUCAGUGGUGUCAGGUACUAGUGUAUGAAUCCUUCGACUACUUUGAGCGUGUGGAGACCCAAAAAAGUGGAUGAGGAGCUGCUCGGAGGACUCUUCUCAACUCUGUAUUUUCUAUUCUUCAUAUAUGUUCCUAAUGUACAUUCAUUUAUCCAGUUUGUAGUUUCUGUAAAAAGUGUAAAUAUUUUUCUAUGAAUAAACUCUUUUCAGUAAAUGUGGUGUACAUGCUUUCUACUAAAAGGAAGGAAGUUGGAAGUUAUUUGUUUUUUAACCCUUGCAUGCAUGAAUUAUGAG